GUAAAAUUACUAUUCACCAUCAUCAUUAUGCCCAAGUAAAGCCAAAAAUUUCUGCAGCUUAAUCAUUACAUAGCCAGCUCAUAAAUGAGCUUCAGAACAUCCCAUAAGCUGAAUGUUAAUCACCAUGCAUGAAACUUCAUUGGUGAGGCAACAUGCUUAAGGAAAUAAACUUGAUUUCCUUGCUAAUCACUUCCAGCACUAUAAAUUCGUGCAUUCUGAAGCUCUUGAGGUCCUAGGGCAUUAGUAUUAGGUUCAGAAACGUGAGAGGCAGAAUGAGAAGCUCUUAGCCCUUCUCAAAUUCAAGAUUUAAGCUCCAAAACUUCAUAUCUUCGAUUCUCCUUUUCCUCUCAUCCAAAUCACUCCAAACCUGUCCCAUUUUGUUUCUGGAAGAUCAUAUAUUAAUUCUGGGCGAAAUUAGACAAGUUCUGGGUAAGAAAUCGCGAAGAACAAGAAGCUGCAACUUCUCCGGCGACACUGCCCAGAUUCCGGCGACUUUGAGCGACCAGUAAAUGCCAUUUCCUCCUCCGUCCGAUCGACCCACUGCACGAAACCACCACCAUUCUCUUUCUGGAAGCGAGACUCAUCUGCCCAUUGUACCACCUCGCUCAAAACCCGUGGAAAACGCAUCUCCGGUCACCGUCUCUGGCAUGCUUCUCGCCGGAAAAAUCGUGAAAUUCAUUUCUGGUGAAAGAUUGAGAUGGGCUUAGAUCGAGUGGUUGUUGUUUGCCGAAGCUAUUAAGCCAUGGUAGCUGUUGGUGGUUAGGCAAGUAGGACUCAAUGAUGUAGAACUAGGUUUCAGAGUGUUUCAGGAUAGACAUUGUCUACUUUGAUUUUGAAGUUUAAAAAAGGAUUUUGAUAUUC